rnacentral:rRNA from 1 species
GACGAACGCUGGCGGCGUGCUUAACACAUGCAAGUGGAGCGACGAACCAGGGCUUGCCCUGGGGCAGAGCCGCGAACGGGUGAGUAACACGUGGGUUACCUGCCCCGAUGACCGGGACAACCCGAGGAAACUCGGGCUAAUACCGGAUGUGUCCGAAAGGGGAAAGGAGCUUCGGCCUCCGCAUCGGGAUGGGCCCGCGGCCCAUUAGCUUGUUGGUGAGGUAACGGCUCACCAAGGCUGCGANGGGUGGCUGGUCUGAGAGGACGAUCAGCCACACUGGGACUGAGACACGGCCCAGACUCCUACGGGAGGCAGCAGUGGGGAAUCUUGCGCAAUGCGC